UACGUAGGGGGCAAGCGUUGUCCGGAUUUAUUGGGCGUAAAGAGCGUGUAGGCGGCCUUACAGGUCAGCUGUGAAAACUCGAGGCUCAACCUCGAGACGUCGGUUGAAACCGUAAGGCUAGAGUCCGGAAGAGGAGAGUGGAAUUCCCGGUGUAGCGGUGAAAUGCGCAGAUAUCGGGAAGAACACCCGUGGCGAAAGCGGCUCACUGGACCAUAACUGACGCUGAUGCACGAAAGCUGGGGGAGCAAACAGG
rnacentral:rRNA from 1 species